rnacentral:lncRNA from 7 species
AAAAGCACCAGCAACAAGCAACAAACAGGAGGUACCAUACUACAAAGAGGACAACAACCAGACAAGCUGGACAGCAUGCUACUGCACUUCUCCUGGACACAUCACACUUAAUCACACAUCUGAAGGAAUCCAUCUGCUGUGUGGUAUGCCACAAACCUGUGAAGAGGGCAGGGCAUGGAAACAAUUUGCUUUUCCCUUGGCUGCUUCCAGUAAGGUUGCAGCUGACUGCAGAGGCCAGUUUCCGCUGACCAGACAAGGCCAUGGAACUCUACAACCAAGCAGCUCUCCGAUGCCAUCCUUGAAAGCUCCCUUGGGACAAAAUGAUGAGACGUGACAAGCACAGCACAGGCUGGAUCUCAGCAGCCAUGACCUAACUACACUGCAGGCGCUGGUCAGCUACAGUUAACAAGCAUCUAAUCCAUUUGGUAUUUUCUCAUUUAGAUACUCUACGAUUUUUCCUUCUCCUAGAAAAACUGCCAAUACACAACAUCAAAACAAAGAACACUUAAGCAAUAAUUUUACAAUGUAAGGAAUAUUUUAGGAUCAGGAUCUAGAAAUGUUUACAUGAAUCCUCAGCUUUUGGUAAGCAAAAAUUAUACACUGCAUUCCAGAGAAAUGCUUGAAAAUUUAAACCUGAUUGGAAUUAGGAUUUUGUCCCUUUAAAUAUCCAGACACAAGUCAUGUGGUUUGCUUGGAUGUGCUUUUUUUUUUUUAAUAAAGUUUCUU